rnacentral:lncRNA from 1 species
CUUGUCCAGAGGCAGCUUCAGGACCCACUAUGGGAGCACAGGCUGCAUGGGCGCAGCCCUCGGGUGCUGAUACAGGGCCUGGCUUGGACCCUCCUUCGCCUCGGACUCAGGUGCUAUUCAUUUCCCCCUCCCUGGGAGCCAUCAUCAGAACAAAGAGGCCGGACCCAGGAGAGCAAGACCCAGGUCUCAGGAGGCCAGAAGCCACAGGUGUUCGACUUUGUGACCUCUGCCUGCCACAGUGAAUCCAAGAAUCCACAGCUGCGAUUUGUGUUAGGGUACGGAGUUGAAGAAUGUGAAGCAGACCUUGGCUCCCCUCACGGGGUCACAGGCCACGGGGACAGGCAGACUCAAGGAACUGAACUUGUGUAUGUGAGAAGGAGCUACGAUUGCUGCACCAAUCGGGGUACUGAGAUGGAGGAUACUGGGGUGCACGGGGCCUUGUUAAAUCCCCGUGGUGAGGGGCACUUCCCUGAGGUCCUCACCCUCUGGGGAAGGGGCUGGGGGGCAAAUGGGAUUCUGGCCCAAGUGAUCUCCAAUCUCCACCCUAAGGGAUGGAUGCAGAUGGAAAGUCAGGAGGUGUGGGCUCCCCUUCUGGCUCUGGUAACCCCUCGGGUUCCCCACCUCUGUGGAUUUCACCCCCUCAACCCCCACCCAGAGCUCACCAAACCCUGCAGGCUGUCUUGGCCUUGACCUGCGCUGCUUUCUCACUGUCUCUCCCAUGUCCUCUGGCCCCUGGCUACUCCUCACUCUGUGCCUGGUGUGUCGGUGCUCCGUGGAGCCCUGAGGGUGUGCUCAGGGGCCGCCCUCACAAGUUACCCCGUCUCUGGACCUGAGCCUGCAGGACCAUUUGCUCCUACAACCAUAUUCAGGAGAUUGGUCCACUGCUUUCCUGUCCUCACAUCCCCACUGGUCUUCCAGAGUGGGGGCCCAAAAGCAGGAUUUUCCUUCCUCACCACUCGCCUCCCCAAGGCUACCCCAAGGCAAGUCGGGGGCACAUCCUUCCCCUAUUGUCACUGUCUGUCAUGACAUCGUCCCGUUGAGCUCAUGUGUGACAUCAGAAUCCUUCUCAACACAGCCAUUUGGGAAGCUGAUGCUGAAGAACUGGAGCUGACUUGUGGGAUGAAAUCUGUUAGCUGUUCUUGUUUAGCAAGAGCUAGGAUACCAUGUGGCCCACGUGUAGACUUCUGCAUAAACAAAGCUUGGGGUGUGGACCUAGCUGGAAUUGCAGGUACAGAGGCAGGAGCCAGACCAGUCUGAAGAGAGCUGGAAGUUGGCAGGCAGUGGGCAGGGUGUCCCUGGGAGAGGUACCAUGGGCUGGGAGGCAGUGGGACAGAAGUACAGGGCCCAGAGGGAGAUGGUUCAGGGCAGGUUGGUCCUACUGGGGAUCCUCUGAGGGCUGGCGGGACCUCUGAGACUUGCCCUAUCACCCCUUCCCCCAGCCUGAAGUAUCACCCUUCUCAAAAGACCAGAACAUCACUGCCUCAAGCAGAGGCAGGCCGGGACAGUUGGGAGGGUACCUCUGUAGGCCGAAUGAGCCUUUAUGAAAACGACGUCAGUGUCUUUGCCCUAGCUGUGGUCCUUAGAGGCAGGCACAGGGGCACGGACGGUUGUCAAAGACCCUAGUGUGGUCAGGGUUUCCCAGGAGCUGUGUGGCUGCCUCGGGGCCCUGGUGGCCUGGGCACGGGGGAAGUCAGCAGAAAGGACGGGCCUCCUGCCUCCCCUUGGCAGGUCCUGUGGCACCAGUUCUCCUCUCUGUGAGCGCCUGGAGGUGGCUGCACCUCUGCUGGUCUUGAUCCCUUGAGGACGGCCCACGCCCUGAGGGCUGCAUGUUCACUCCUCAUCCCAGGCCCCGGCACUGGAAGGAGGGACCCCAACUGACUGAAUGAGUGGUGCUGCUGUCUGUGCCACCUGUCAGAGUUUCCUGCUCGCUGGACACCUGUCAUCUCUGCGACACUGGGAGCUGCCUGAAGGCCGGGCUGGCCCAGUUCUCUACGGCUGGAUUUCCAGGGUGGAGAUACAGACACAGAGCAGCCAUAUCUUCUUAUUGUACCACCUGGGCUCUGUCCAAGUCUGGGUUGGGGCACCCUGGGCCUCGGGUGGCUCUGGAGCUGGGCCCUGGUGGUCCUAGAGAAUUUGGAACACACUGCCGGCCAAGCAGAAGCUGCCGUCCCCCACAAGCCACGGCCAUGCUCCAGUCACACCGCUUGGCCUUGCCUCGCCUUCUCCAAGCUGAAGUUUCUGUCCCUGCUCCCCUGGGACCUGUCCCAAGUCCCCUUGGUUCCUAAGGUUCAACUGCAGGGCCUCCUCCUUCAGAGUCGCUGCCUGGAGUAGGCCUCUGGCCCUCUGUGUUCCCUGUGCUGGUCUGAUGCUGUCUCGCAGGAUCCACAGGAUGCACACUUGUGAACUU